rnacentral:misc_RNA from 1 species
GAACGCACAUUGCGCCCGCUGGUAUUCCAGCGGGCAUGCCCGUUCGAGCGUCAUUUUAAUCUUUUCCCAGGAGACUCUUCUAUUCUGUAGUGAGAGUGUCAGCGGGGUGUUGGCAUUGGGCGCCUUAUUUUUAGGCGGCCGGAGCCGAAAUGAAGCGGCGGACUCGCGGCGGCCCCUAGCGCAGUAGAAACAACCCUUCUCGCUUAGGAGAGCUGCAGCGGGGGGCCACAGCCCUAUAUGCUUUUUUUUUUUUUUAAAAAAAAAAAAAAGCUAACAUAUAUAAAAACUUGACCUCGGAUCGGGUAGGACUACCCGCUGAACUUAAG